UUUUAUUGUUAAAUUGCACGUUUCUAUUCUUACAAAUAAUAAUAAAACUAUAAUAGUUUUUCUAGAGUAGUUAGGUACCUCUAAUG